rnacentral:rRNA from 1 species
GAUGAACGCUAGCUACAGGCUUAACACAUGCAAGUCGAGGGGCAGCGCAGUGUAGCAAUACAUGGGCGGCGACCGGCGCACGGGUGCGUAACGCGUAUCCAACCUUCCCGUUACUCAGGGAUAGCCUUCCGAAAGGGAGAUUGAUACCUGAUGGUGUUCAAAUUCCGCAUGUUAUUUGAACUAAAGAUUUAUCGGUAACGGAUGGGGAUGCGUGACAUUAGGUAGAUGGCGGGGUAACGGCCCACCAUGCCCACGAUGUCUAGGGGUUCUGAGAGGAAGGUCCCCCANACUGGAACUGAGACACGGUCCAGACUCCUACGGGAGGCAGCAGUGAGGAAUAUUGGUCAAUGGCCGGAAGGCUGAACCAGCCAAGUAGCGUGAAGGAUGAAGGUUCUAUGGAUUGUAAACUUCUUUGUUUGGGAAUAAAAGACGCUACGUGUAGCGUUCUGCAUGUACCUUACGAUAAGCAUCGGCUAAUUCCGUGCCAGCAGCCG